UAUUAUUUAAAUAUUCAUUAUUUCAUUUCAUUAUUUCAUUAUAUUAAUCAUGAUUUCAUUUUUUAUUAAAAGUAAUAACGUGAAUAUUGUCCGGGGAAAAAAAUAUUUUAAAUAUUUAUUAGUUUUUAUGCGUGUUGUCCAUAACAUAACAGCCACCACCAGCCCCUGAGCAUGUCAAUUGAUUUUUUUAUCAAUUAGCUAAUUCAUUUUGAUAUUUUUUUUUCUAAUUAAAAACUAGCAUAUUGUUUAAUUUCCCAAUUAAUUCAAAGCAGACUUAAUAUCUCAUGAGUUCCGGGCCUGGGAUGCUUGAUUAUUAAUGAAUUAUUCAUUCAUUAACUCGUCACACGGUAGUCAAUAUAUCGCCGUGUAAAUAAUAAUAAAUAAUAAUAAAUAAUAAUAUUUUUAAUGCACUUUUUUUCUUGAAAGCAAUGUAAAGUCUUGUUCUCGUAGAACCGAUGUUGUGUAUCGACUCGUCUCAUUACCGAAUUCAUGGAAACCACAACAGAAAGUAUAGACAGUAGACACAGUAUAAUACUGUAGUACUGCAGCGGAAAGACCAGAAUUUACUUUUAGUUUCAAAUGCAUAGGUUCCUAGGUAUGGUAUACGCUACAUAAAUGGUACCAUCCAGUCGGAAUAUUCACAAUAUUGUGGAAAUUUCCAACCAUUUGCAACUAAACUUUUUAUUGUAUCUUCAUGCACUGCAUAGUACGAUAAUACACACCUUUUUAACAACUACAAUCAUUUUUGACAACAAAAAAAUACCACCAUUCAGGCAUCACAUGAUGCAUAAAGCAUCAAGUUAUCAUCUGCCAUCUUUUGUUUUUUUACAAAUACUUAAUAGUGAAUAACAAUAACAAUGCUAUGCUAAAGAAGUCUAUGACUUAAUGGAAGUUCCAAAAGGAAUGCAGCAUUUCCUCGGGUGUGCUCUUGUUUUGUCUAAGCUCCUUUGCUAUUCCUUUUCCUUCCUGGAGCUGGGAAUUCCUCAUUAGGGCUAUCUUUGCUCUGAUUGCUUCACCGUUCCACCUUUUCACCCUCCUAUGGGGUCAUUGGAUCCACAUUGUAGUGAGGAAUACGUGCGAGUGAUGCCCCUGGCGCUAAGAUGGAAUGUGUAAGAGAACAUGCUGUCAUCGUAAGCCGUCAUUCUAAUAGUAGUCUUCAUAGUUCUUGGAAUUCAGGCAGUAGAGGAUGGCUCCCCCAAAGGAGAAGAUGGUGGACCCCCAUCCCAGGCCGAAGCCCCAGUUGAACUCGUGGUACACCCUCAGAGUGACCGCCUCGAUGAACUUGAUGGGGAACAAGACCAGACUGCACAGCUGGAGCACCACUGCCAAGGAAGGAAGGAAGGAAGGAAGGAAGAGAAGAGCAUGAUGGCCACGGGCUUGUAGCAGCGACUCCUGGAGACGCAGCACAGCGACAGCAGAGCCACCAGGAAGGACAGCAGGGUGAGGGUGGCGCCGCCCAAAAGCAAGGCCAGCGUGGCGAUCUGCCAGUCUGGAACACAGAGCGAGAGAAGCGGAUGGGACCACGAGGGAGGGUCGCGGCUGGCGGUGCUGGAGCACUCCACACAGAAAUGGCCGAGGAUGGAAUCGAACUCGGGCCUCCUAGCUGUGAAGCCUGUGUGCUAACCACCCGUCCACUGUGCAGCCCUGGUUCAGUAUAUUUUUCAUCAAAAUAGUAGUCAUGCCAAAAUGUCGUGUUGCUGCUGGAUGUUCACAGUAUCCGAGUGAUACCGUGGAGCCUAUCCCAGCUGUCUUCGGGGCGAGAGGCGGGGUACACCCUGGCCAGCCAAUCAGAUAACACAUAUAGACAAACAACCAUUCACACUCACAUUCAUAGCUAUGGACAAUUUGGAGUUGCUAAUUAACCUAGCAUGUUUUUGGAAUGUGGGAGGAAACCGGAGUUGAACCGAGGGUGGAAUCGAACCCUGGUCUCCUAGCUGUGAGGUCUGCGCGCUAACCACUCGUCCGCCGUGCCGCCCCACUGUGCAGCCCUGGUUCAGUAUAUUUUUCAUCAAAAUAGUAGUCAUGCCAAAAUGUCGUGUUGCUGCUGGAUGUUCACAGUAUCCGAGUGAUACCGUUGUGGGGGUGCUGGAGCCUAUCCCAGCUGUCUUUGGGCGAGAGAGAGAGAGAGAGGCGGGGUACACUCUGGACUGGUGGCCAGCCAAUCACAGGGCACAUAUAGACAAACAACCAUUCACACUCACAUUCAUACCUAUGGACAAUUUGGAGUGGCUAAUUAACCUAGCAUGUUUUGUACCCGGAGAAAAGCCACGCAUGCACGAGGAGAACAGAUGAGAGAUGGCCGAGGGUGGAAUUGAACCCCGGUUUCCUAGCUGUGAGGUCUGCACGCUAACCACUCGUCCACCGUGCAGCCCAUUAUUAGUCAUAUUCAAGCAUAUUGUACAUAUUUUUGGACUAUGUGUGUUUGAUGGCCGUAUUCGCUAAAAAGGAACCCGACCCCUUCCCCUGUAGUCCAACUGAGAGCGGUGCUGAGACUGCGGCAUCAAACGCGCGUCUUAUCAGCGCGCGGGAGGCAAAGAGCGACUGGUCUCAUUUCAGAUUUGGAACAGACCCGCGCAGCCAGAUCUGGAGCGCUUCGAGGCUCGGCGAACAGGAAGUGCCAAAGCGUUCCUCUCUGAUGACAGAUGGAGGAGGAGAUAGCGAGAUCUUACGAUGCGUAAAUAUCCUGCGGUGCGCACAAGUUGGACUUUCUCCCUCCGUAAGACAACGAGAUGUGUGUCACAGAAGGGCCCUGAGUCUCGCUCGGAAACAGGAAGUUGUUGGUUUAAGCUGAGAUCCCGCCCCCAGACUGCUGAGAUAACACAAGCGCCGAUAUCAACGACACGGUGGACACCCUCACACACCUUCACACCAUCUCCACCAUCUCCACGUUCAUCUGCCAUCCACACCAGCGUCCCACGUUCCCUCCUCACACCCCUGACCUCCCACCGCUCAUCUGGAACCCUUCAUACUUUUAUCCUUGACGCCAAAACAGCCCGGCGAGCAUCCGCUGUGUCAAAGUAAGGAUUCAUUUCAAGGCAAAGGCCCGACGCAGGGUGGCAGAACAAGGGGGGGGGGCAGAGACGGGAAGGUGCAAUGGGAUUACUGGGACUGGAAUCAAUAAAGCCGGGCUCAUAUCCAGCCUGAGGAAAUGGGCAGUUGAAGCGUUUAUGCUCGCUAUGCUGACACAGACGCCGCAAGUCUUUAUUUGGCAACAACAUGCACUUGGAGAAACAUGGAACCCUGCGUGACCCCCCCCACCCCCACCCCCCUUACGCAACAUUUGAACGACAAGCAAAGAUGCUGUCACACUAACAAAAGAACUUCAUACACUGGAUCCCAAAUCUGUUCCAAUGUCAAACUCUCACCGUCAGAAAGACUUCAUUCAAGACGGAGCCCCUGUCAGUGCUGUAUUAUACAUAUAAAACUGUUUGCUACCCUCUAAAUACACCUAAUUAAAAAAUACACCUAAUAACCUAUUAUUAGAGCCCUCUUGCCGUGAGAUAACACCCCUAUAGUCACCGUUACACUCCUAUUAUUCAUUAUAGGAGACAUAAGACAUAUACACAGAAAACCUGUUUACUACCCUCUAAAUACACUUAACAUUAUUAGAGCUCUCUUGACAUGAAAUA